rnacentral:rRNA from 1 species
AUGAGCUCGUAUGGCAGCCUUAGUUUAAUGGAGAACGCCGACAGCUUUUGGUUCGUGUCGCCGCCACCGUUCGUCCGCGCCGCAGCUGGCGACCACCCCAAGCAUCUCCCCGCCUCACUCCCCUGGAAGUCCUCUGAUGAACCUCCAACGUUCCAUCAAUCUCCUCCAAGGCGUCACUCCAGACUGUUCCCGAGGCGAUCUCCUCUGCCGUCCGUCGGCAUUGUCAACGGCCCCGUACCCGUUCUCCUUCGCUGCUUCAUUUUCCUUCCUGUUCGUGUGCUCCACCGGAAGAAGGACCGAUGA